CCUCACAAGGCGGAACUCAACAGGCUACACGCACAUUCAUAGCGCUCUUAUAGAGCCAUAAAAUACAGAAGCAAUAGCAAGUAACGAUGAACGACCUUGGGGAAGUUGGGAGCCAAACCUAACGCUUCAGUGGAACUCCGAACAUUGUUCGGAAGCAUAGGGAAUAAACUCCUUUGCUUAAUGAAAGUGCUACAACUG
rnacentral:ncRNA from 1 species